CCCUAUUAUUUUUGAGUGUUAAUCUUUUAUACCUGAGUAGUACUAGUUAUGUUCUUGAAACUUAAAGAAUUUGGCGGUAUCUCAUUCUAUUCAGAGGAAUCUGUCUCGUUAUCGAUAGUCCGCGUUGGACCUUACUUGGGAGCACUAGUGGUUUGUAUACCGCCGUUUAUUGAUUAUCUUUUGAGAGUUAAUUUUCUGGUUUCUUUAUUUUGAUUUAUUUCAGGUCAAGGUGCAGCCUUUCUUAAGUGUAAUGAUGGAUUACAGUGUUAUUAGUUAUUGGAUUGUCUGGUUUUGACACUGACAUGAAAUUGGAUUUGGUUGUAAUAUUUUGUAGAUUGUCUAUAUGAUAAUUAGUUCUGGGAUAUGUACACAUCGCCCGUCGCUCUCGUUUAGUUGUUAAUGAGAUAAGUC
rnacentral:rRNA from 1 species